rnacentral:lncRNA from 1 species
AUGGUGAAGGUCAGAGUGAAUGAAUUUGUCUGUACUAAGUGCCUGGUUUCCAGGGCUAGCUUCUCAUCUGCAUCUGGAAAAGUGGAGAUUGUUGCCAUCAAUGACUCCUUUAUUGACCUCAGCUAUGUGGUCUACAUGUUCCAGUAUAUUUCUACUAAUGGCAAAUUCAUUGGCAUAGUCAAGGCUUGAGAAUCGGAAGCUUGUCAUCAUUGGGAAGCCCAUCACCAUCUUCCAGGACCAAGACCCCAAUAACAUCAAAUGGGAUGAUGCUGGGGUUGAGUAUGGCCUGGAGUCUACUGGCAUCUUCACCACUGUGGAGAAGAAGGGUGUGGCCGAAAGAGUCAUCAUCUCUGCCCCUUCUGCCGAUGCCCCCAUGUUUGUGAUGGGUAUGAACCAGGAGAAGUCUGACAACUGCUCAAGAUCCUCAGAAAUGCAUCCUACACCACCAGCUACUUAGACACCCUGGCCAAGGUCAUCCAUGAGAACUUUAGCAUCAUGGAAGGACUCAUGACCAUGGCCAUGUCAUCUCUGCCACUCAGAAGACUGUGGAUGGUGCCUCUGGAAAGUUGUGGUGUGAUGGUCUUGGGGCUGCCCAGAACAUCCCUGCAUCCACUAGUAUUCUCAAGGCUGUGGGCAAGGUCAUCCCAGAGAUGACCUGGAAGCUACUGGCAUAGCCUUCUGUGUUUCAACCAGCAAUGUAUCCAUUGUAGAUCUGACAUGCUGCCUGGAGAUACCUGCCAAGUAUGAUGACAUCAAGAAGGCAGUAAAGCAGGCAUCUGAGGGCUCACUAAAGUGCAUCUUGGGCUACACUGAGGACCAGGUUGUUUCCUGUGAUUUCAACAGUAACUCCCACUCCUCCAUUUUUGAUGUUAGGUCUGACAUUGCUCUCAAUGACAAUUUUGUAAAGCUCAUUUCUGGUAUGACAAUGAAUAUGGCUACAGCAACAGGGUGGUAGACCUCAUGGCCAACAUUGCCUAGAAGGAG